UAGGGAAUCUUCCACAAUGGACGCAAGUCUGAUGGAGCAACGCCGCGUGAGUGAAGAAGGUUUUCGGAUCGUAAAGCUCUGGUGUUGGUGAAGAAGGAUAGAGGCAGUAACUGGUCUUUAUUUGACGGUAAUCAACCAGAAAGUCACGGCUAACUACGUGCCAGCAGCCGCGGUAAUACGUAGGUGGAAAGCGUUGUCCGGAUUUAUUGGGCGUAAAGCGAGCGCAGGCGGAAUGAUAAGUCUGAUGUGAAAGCCCACGGCUCAACCGUGGAACUGCAUCGGAAACUGUCAUUCUUGAGUGCAGAAGAGGAGAGUGGAAUUCCAUGUGUAGCGGUGGAAUGCGUAGAUAUAUGGAAGAACACCAGUGGCGAAGGCGGCUCUCUGGUCUGCAACUGACGCUGAGGCUCGAAAGCAUGGGUAGCGAACAGG
rnacentral:rRNA from 1 species